UUGACACCAAGACUUUUGGUUUGAACAGAUGGAAGGAUGGAGUUGACAUCAACUGAGAAGUGGAAGACUGGCUAACCCUGGAUCCUCACUGAAGAGGACAGAGGGAGAGGCAAGUAGGAGGAGAGUUUCUGCCUUGACUGGCAGCAGGAGACCUGGCACUACCUCCAAGUAGCAGAGGCUUAAACCUGAUAUUUCUGUUGGAGUGUAUUUGUGGAUCUAUGGAGGCUUCACCUGGAAUAUAUCCCUGCAUUUCUCCUGAGGGACACCGAGGGACACACAGGAGGACCUGGCUGCUCCUAACACCAGCAACCUCAAAGCAAAAACUGCCUCCCAGCAAUGCCACUGCCUCGAUUGGAAUCUGUCACCACUGAAUUUAUUUUUUUGCUCCAACAUAUAGGGCUUGUUUCUGUGACAGGAAAAAUAAUACACACAGAGAGUAAGAAAAUACAUAUAUAAAAGAAGAAUUACAUAAGCCAGGAGAGUGAAAGUCUUUUCUUCAGAAAAUAUAUAGCCUCAAGUACCUAAAUUAGAAGAAAACACAGAAAAUUAACGUGUUAAGCUUCACAGUAGAGAAGUUUGAGGAAGAACAACAAAAUAAACACUAAGAAAACAGGAGGAAAGAACAAACACAGAUAUGGGCAGAAACUAACAAAACAGGAAACUAAGAUACAACAAAGAUAAUCAAUAAAACCAAAGCUGUUUCUUUGACAAGACUAAUAACAUAGAUCUCUGGCAAUAUUGAUCAAGGAAAAAGAAAAAAUGUAAAUAGUAUUUGUAAUGGAAAGAGAGCAUAAGUACAUAUGUAGCAGAUGAAAAACUGAAAAUACAAUAAAAACGUCAUGC